AUCCUUUUGUAGUUCAUAAGUGUGAUGAUUGGGUGUUGCUCCUGUUGUGUGACAUGUGCCUCCCACAAAUCUUGUUAUGACAAUCAGCACAUUACCUGUCUGACG